rnacentral:rRNA from 1 species
AUUGAACGCUGGCGGCAGGCCUAACACAUGCAAGUCGAGCGAGCGGCGGACGGGUGAGGAAUGUAAGGGGACCGCUCGAUAGAGGGGGCUAACUACUGGAAACGGUAGCUAAUACCGCAUACUAUCGGAUAACCCAUAUGGGAUUAGCUAGUAGGUGAGUUACUGGGUUACCUAGGCGACGCACCCUAGCUGGUCUGAGAGGAUGAUCAACCAAACUGGGACGGAGACACGGCCCAGACUCCUACGGAGGCAGCAGUGGGGAAUAUUGCACAAUGGGGGCAAGCCUGAUGCAGCCAUGCCGCGUGUAUGAAGAAGGCCCUAGGGUUGUAAAGUACUUUCAGUCGGGAGGCGUUACCGACAGAAGAAGCACCGGCUAACUCCGUGCCAGCAGCCGCGGUAAUAC